UCCCGCAGCGCAAAAUACGCUGCAGAAGAAAAUGGAGAUGGAGAAAUUUUCAAAAGACGGCAGGAAGGUUAUCGAAGCUGAAGAAAAUGGGAUUACUUCAGAAAUUCUCCUAAAAUUUACUGACACGGACAUCAGAGAUGCAUUCGAUUGCUUGAUGGAUCGUUUUGAAGUGUGCCAGAUACAGAGUCGUCAUGCUUUGCUGACAUCGACACAAACAGGCAGUAUUAUUAGCAGCCAGGACCUGAAGAUGUAAGCUUUACAAGAUCUUCAAAUGAUAAUUAAAGCAUAUGUGUACAAGCUCAGAAGAUAACACCAGCCUGCAGGAUGACAGUGAUGUGCAAAAUGCAAAGAUAUACAGCAAAAGAUUUGCUAUUGAAAAAGGAUAAAAGAGGAAUACCUAAAGCACCACAACGGUUUUUCAGCAAUCUCAUGCAAGAUGCGGCAGACGCUGUCAAUAUUUUAAAAAAAGCUCUCCCUUUGCACCAAAUAUCCUCGGAAAAUAACAACUGUUUUUUAAAAAUGUAUUAACAGUGACACCUCAAUUAAGCGGAGCCAAAAGGAGGUAUGGCAAAUACUAGGAAUAAUUUUGCAAAACAAAAGAAAAUAUCUUUUUGAUAAAAGUUUAGGCAACAGAAGUUCUACCAAGAAAAAUGACAACAGUAAUAAUUGGAACGUAAACAGUGUGGAGCCUGCAAUUGGAAAUAAAGUGUUUGUUACUGACAAAACAAAAACUUAAUCGCUUGGUGAAGGAAUUAUUAUUUCCGAUCCGAAUUCCAAAUUUGUUGAAAUAGCUUUGAACAAACUGCGAUUUAGAUGAAAUAGGAGACGAACAUCGGGAACUUCAAACACCAUCGAUUGUUACAUGGAGAACGGAUAGACUCGCAAUAAGUAGACUGGGUAAAAAGAGUGCAAGUUCUACAACGAGGAAACCAGCAUAUAUAUGCAUAUACAAUACAGAUAAAUUUCAAGAGUUUUGGGAAACCUGUAUUCUAGCAACUCUGUCCUAAUAAUGUCGGCUGUAUCUUAUUCUUGAAACCACACAGAUCAUAUGUGAACCAUGCAUCCAUAUUUUAUAUUUAACAAUGCUAAAUUUGUAGCAGUAAAAACUUUUGCAAAUAUAUAUGUUAUUCAACUGUCAUUUUUUCAUGUUUAAAAGAUAUCUGUGACACAUGUGACAUGUGGGUAGAUUAUAUUACAAUUUAUUGACAAGAGUUAACGUUACUUGUAUUAUUUCUAACUUUAAACACAGCUGGAAUUAUUAUAUAUACCGUCAUAACUGCAUAUUCAGAAUCUAUUGAAUGUCCAUUAUUAUUGUUAUUGUCAUAUAAGUGAUUACAAUUUGAAUUCCAGUGACCACAGGCUAGGUAUUUCAGUGGAAAUACCACUGGAUUCCACUGGGAAAUUAGACCAUUAUUCCACUGGAUUCCACUGGGCAAUUUGGCCUGGAAUUUCCAAUAGAAUUGAUCUGGAUUCCAGUGGAAAUACCACUGGAUUUCAGUGGAAUACCAGCAGAAAUUCCACUGGGCAAUUUGGCCUGAAUUCCAGGCCAAAUUGCCCAGUGGAAUUUCUCAUGAAAUGUGGUAAUUUGUACAUGUUCAUGAAAGUUCAUGAAUAUUUCAAGCAUUUUCCAUUCAUGAACUUAAAAUGGGACAUUUUCUUCAUGAACAUUCAUGAAAAUUCAUGAAUUGUUGCAAUUUUUCAUGAAUGUUCAUGAAUUCAUAUAUUCAUGAAUAUUCAUGAUUUUAUAUUCAUGAUUUUCACAUGCUUUCAUGAUUCAUGAAUCUUCAUGAAAUAUUUUGCUCAAGAUUAUUCAUGAAGUUUUAAGUUCAUGAAUUUCAUGAAAAUAUAUUCAGGACCAAAUCAAGAACAUUCAUGAAUAUUAUUCAUGAAUAUUUCAUGAACUGUUCAUGAAUUUUCAUGAAUUAUUCAUAAUCAUUUCGCAGGGGUAGCCUGUUUUAAUUGUGUUAGUUCUGACAUCCAGUUUCUUUUGUUUUUUAAGUUUAAUAAAAUCUUUAUUUGGGAGAUGGAACCAUUCUCAAAAAUAUCAUCAAUUAGUAGUAUACCUGAAUUUAUCCAGUUGGUAAAAAUCAGUACUUAAUUUUUGAUUUUGAUAUGUUUGUUUCCCCAUAUUGGUUGUUUUCUUACUUCCAGCUGAUUGAUAUAAUUUUUCGUUUGUUCUCCACCCAGUGUAAUCCAAGCUUUGAUAACUUCUUGAUAAAAUAAUGGUGUUUCUUUUAUUUUUGGUAGAGAUUUAAUUUCGUCUAGAUUCAUUUUUAAAAUGAGCAGGUCUUUCCCAUAUUUGUUUAAAAAGUAGUUUGGUAUGAUUUUCCAGUUCUAUUAUUACUUUUUGGUGAAUUGUCAAAGAUUGUGCAAGGUAUGUAAAUUUGGGUGAUAUAAUACUUUUAAUAAUUACUGUUUUACCAAUAAAAGUUAGAUCUCUUCUUUUCCACAUAUUAAGACAUAUUUUUGUAUUUGUAAUUUUUUCAUCCCAGUUAAGCUUUUCACAUUCAUUUUUAUUAUUAUUGAAAUUUACCCCUAAUGACUUUAUUGGUACUUCUUGCCAGUUUAUUACGCUUAUCUUUCUUUUAGAAAUUUUUAGUUUUCCAAUCCAAAGACCAUCAGUUUUGUUUCUAUUGAAUUUUAAGCCUGAUACCUCCCCAAAUUCUAAUACUAUUUGCAACGCUAUUGGUAUGCGGUGUGGUGAACUUAUAAACUGGGUGGUUUCAUCUGCUAACUGGCCUAUUUUUUGUUCUUUCAAAGACCCCUCUACUUUUAUCCCUCUUAAAUUGUUGUUAUUGCAGAUUUUAAGGCCUAGGAUUUCAACUAUGGCUACGAAAAUUAAGGCUGAGACUGGACAACCCUGCCUUAUGCCUCUUUCUAUUUUAUUUUUUUUAGAUUUCCACCCAUUGUUUAACAUACAACUAGAACUAUUUGAAUACAAAGUGUUUAUCCAUGAGAUGAAAGAGUUAUUAAAUCCAAAUGUUUUUAAAGUUUUAACCAUAAAGUCCCACGCACGUGUGUCGAAAGCUUUUUUGAAAUCAAGGAAAAGGAUUGCCCCCUCUAUAUUUAAUUGGUCUGCAUAAUCAAUGAUAUAUUGUGUUCGACGAAUAUUAUAACCGAUAUAUCUAUUUGUUAAGUAACCUUGUUGAUCCAAGCUAAUGAUGGAUGGUAAUACUUUUUGAAGACGUUUUGCCAAUACAUAUGCUGCUAUUUUAUAAUCAAAAUUUGUUAGUGUGAUCGGUCUACAAUUUUCUAGUAAUUCUGGGUUUCCUUUUUUAUAUAUGAUUGUUAUUGCGCCCUGUUGUUGUGAGGCUGAUAAUUUAGUUUUUGUAUAACCUGCAUUUAGUUAUUGUAUAACUAUGUCUUUAAGCUCAUUCCAGAAAGUUUCAUAAAAUUCUGCUGUUAUACCAUCUAGCCCUGGUGAUUUAUUUAAUUUCAUAUUUUUUACAGCGUCUGUACAUUCUUUUACUGUAAGUGGACCGUCACAUAGUUUACUUGUGUCUUUAUUUAGUUUAUUUUCCAAAACUGUAUUGCUUAAAUAAUCGUUUACUUUGGUGGGGUCUGGAGAUUGUGUGGUAUAUAGUUUUUUUUAUAGAAAUCAUGCCCUACUUUGAAAAAUCUCUGAUUCUUUUGUUAUUGUUUUACCCUCAACAUUUAAUUUUGUUAAAGAUUUUCUCAUCUGUCAUUUGUUCACUAAUUGGAGAAAAUAUUUGGUGUUUUUUUUCUCCCUUCUCUACCCAAUUUUCUUUCGCUCUUAUUUGGGUGCCUUUUGCUUUAAAUUCAUAGAUGUCUCCUAUUUGUUUUUCUAGAUCUAUUCUUUUGUUUUCCAUAGCCCCAUCAUCAGUGUGAUUAGUCUGUUCGUUCAGUAUUUUUAGCUAUCAUUCUAGUAGGUUGAAUUUGUUUUUCCUUUCUAGACUUUUCUUCAUGCCGAAAUCAAUUAAUUUUUCUUUAAUUGUGGAUUUACAUAAUUCCCAUCUUACUUGUAUAUCUUGUACACCUCUGUCUAUUGCAUGUAGCUAGGUAUUCAUAAAUAACCUGUUUUAUUGUUUUGAUAUACUCAUCAUCAGUUAGGUAGGGAUUAUUCAUUUUCCAGAGGAUCUACCUUUUGUUGGUAUAGUAAGGUUUAAUUUUAACGAGAUAGCCAUGUGAUCUGUAUGUUUUAUAAUUGCAGGUCUUAUGUCGCAUGUAUUAACAAUAGGUCUGAUAUCCUUGCUAAUUAAUGAGAAGUCUAUUCUACUUUUCUCGGACCUGUUUUUUCUUUUCUAUGUAAAUUGUAACUUGUUUUGAUUAGUUUGUCUCCAAAUGUCAGUUAGUUUAUUUUGUUUAAUGAGCUGCGUUAAGCUGUUGGUAGUUGUGUUUCGUUUAUUUAUGUUAGUUUUUCUGUCUAUUUGUUUUAAGGUGUUGUUGUAGUUACCCUCUAUGAUGAGAGAGCCUUUUGCUUCAGAUUUCAUAACUUCAUUGAUUCUUUUAAAAACAUGUUUCUGUCUUGUGGGUUGUUCGGUGCAUAAAUAUUUAUCAGUGUGUAUGUUGUUUGAUCAAUUUGGAUGUUUAUGAAUACAUAACGACCAUUAACAUCUGUAUGUGUAUUUACAAUGUUAUAGUUUACUACUAAUCAGUAUUGAAGCUCCCCUACUGUUACUUGUGCCGUAACUGUCUAUAGUGUCCCCUUGCCAUUCAGCAUAUCAAAUUUUGUCUGAUUUUUGUGCGAAAUGUGUUUCCUGAAUGAAAGCUAUGUCUCCUUUUUGAUUAAAUAAAUAUGUGUAUAAACGA
rnacentral:lncRNA from 1 species